rnacentral:lncRNA from 1 species
GGCCAGUAGGAGUUUACCAGAGGCUACUAGAAGCAUUUUGUUUUUCAAACGCUCAGGCUCUACUUGUUGGCAAAUCCAUUCCCAGUUGCCCUAACACAGAGCCUCUCAAGUCAUCUCAGCUGUCGAUACGCCAUCACCCAAUGGUAACUAGCUGAGAGCAUUGCAGGCUGUCUACAGGAAAUCUUACAAGCCAUAAAGAGGCCUACAAUGGACAAAGAGAUUGGUAUAGUGACUGAUAGUGAUUUCAAGAGAACAUGAUGGUGAAACUCACCAGAGGAAGAAGGUUCUGGGAACAUCUGUUAGAUCAGAUCUCUGGUAGCAGGGAUGAUGGAUCAAUCUCCAAGAAGCCCCAAAUGGAGCAUGGGGUCCCCAUGAAGACACCAAAUAGUCAUCUGUUCAUCAUAUGUAAUGCUCCCUAGGUCAGUGAGGCAAGGUUGUUUCCCUUCCUCCUUUGUUCUGUGCAGUUAGUGGGAACAUAAAUCAACAGAUUUUGCUAUUACUAAUUAAUAGGAAGUGAGAUCUAUCUAAGGAAGAGAAGCAAUAUAUAUUAUAAUCCAGUCCUUUGUCCCAAAUAAGACAAAGGGUGCUAAAUGGUAGGCACCAAUUAAUCUGUUUCCAGACUAAGUACAUGAUUGACUCUUUUCUGAUAUAGCUUUGUACAAAAUGUCUUCAGAAUGAUGGCAGAGCCAAGGGAAAGCUGUAGAUAAGACCUUAACCUUCCAGGUAGAAAGGAGAGGGAGGAGCUUGAGUCCAGAGAAGCAGGGACUUAAGCAGAAAAGCAAAGCUUGAGGCAUGAGUACUUGAUUGUAACGGGUAUCUGCAAUGUGGCUCUUCUCAACGAUACAAUGAUCCAAGACAAUCCCAAAGGACUCAUGGUGGAAAAUGCUAUCCACAUCCAAAGAAAGAACUGAUGUCUGAAUACAGACUGAAACACAUUAUUUCCCUCUUCUUUUCUUUCUUGUUUCCUUCCUUUUUCAAGUCUUCUUGCACAAAAUGACUAACAUGUAAAUGUUUUACAUGAUUUCACAUGUAUAACCUAUAUCAGAUUGCUUACUGUCUCAGGAAGGGGGAGAGGAGGGGAGGAUAGAAUUUGGAACUCAAAACUUAAAAAAAACACAAAUGUUAAAAUUUGUUUUAACAUGUAAUUGAG